rnacentral:lncRNA from 1 species
GAAAGCACUAUAUAAAAAUGUAUAUUACAAGACUGCAGUAGCAUUAUCUGUAGUAGCAUAGCCCACCUUCUAGAGAAUAUCUUAAUGACAUUCGUUCUUCUGGCCUCAUUAAGGAUACUCUGGGAGCUGCGUGAUGCCAACGAACACAAUCAUUUUGCUCCAGUAUAACUAGGAUCAGCAUUUUAAUUGUACAGUGACAUGACUUGUCCUUCACUAAGGCAUCACUUCAGCAUCCAGCAUGUCAGAAUAAAUCUUUUUUUCUAAAAGUUUGCAGUAACUUUGCUGACAUCAACCCAGCAUAAAUACAAACAGAGGCUAGGCCAAAUUGUUUAGUUCAGUUCAGAUCCCUGAUCUUUUGGAGCGGCUCCAGCAUUGUCUGAAGCAUUCCUUUUUGUACUUAACUAUGAAAACUAACAAGAUUUCUGUUCUUGGAAAUUCCAAGUGUAGGGGGGGGGGGUUCUACCUGGCCCCAGCUGUUGAGCUGCUUCGUGGUCCUACACAACCCCGGUCUCGAAGCGAAGGGUGCCGAAACCAUAACGAAGCUGGGAACUCGUCAUGUGGUCAAACUUGUCGUCAGCCUGUUUCACGGAGAAAAACGCAACAGGAAGCCCUCCGGAUGUUUGCUGCUUUUCAUGUGGCAUUUGUGGUCGGCUCUGAUAACGCCGGGAGCACCGCCUCCAACCCCGCGCUCUGUAAUGGCACUGGAAAUAGAAACACAUCUCUGGCCGGAGGAUCCCCGCUCCGCGCCCCCGCGCUCUGUACCGCGGCGGGUUUAAAAGGUCAAUAAAUCAGAAGGAUGAACUCUCGGCGGCACCGGUAGGUUGGGAAAGUUAACGAAUGACCCCGGGAGUCGUCGUGCGACCGCCAAGGUUUUUCGGGAGCUCAUUACCGAGCGCUUCGGGAAAGAGAGGUGUAAGCGGAGAGAGCGGCUGGAGUCAGAGUCAGUGCUGUCCGGUGUGUUUUAAAGUCACAAUUAAAAAAACCCCAAAAACCUAAACAGUCAAAACAGAAAGCGGGAAAAGGGGUGAGACAAUCCAUUUCUGACACUGAGGGCACUGAAAGGGUCACAAACUGCCAACAUUUUCUGUACAAACCGGGGAGCUUUUACUUUCUCGGCUUAGAUUCAAAACACACCUUUCUUUCUUUGAUCCCAGAUCAAUGAGCUGUAGAAGCAGUUUGCACAAAUCUCCCAAACAAAGUCAGCGGCAGUUUGCUUAGUUUAUUACCUCAUGUUCAUUAUACAGAAAAAACAUUUUCUUUUCUCCUGAAAGUGACAGCCACAAAAUUGCUAUAAAGUGUAUUUGUAAGCAGUCCCUCUACUCGUUGGAUAUUUUCAGUGCAAGCUCUUGCAGGAUUUGUUGCCUUG